AAGAGCAGAGGGGCCGAGCGGCCCUACCAGCCCCGGAGGAGCCCGGGACACAACCACGGGCCAGGCCCCCGGCCCACGGCCACCCGCCCGACCCCUCCGGCUGUGCUCACAGCCUCGGCGAUGACAGGAACCGAUGCCGCGGAGGGCUCUCCUGGGAGAGGCGUCAGGCCUGGUCUCGGCGAGAAGGACGGGCGUUCCAGAAUGCAAGCUCCGCACGAGCAGGACACUGUCCAACGGCUCCACCGGCGAGACCCAGGGCCUGGCACGGCGUCAUCGCUCAAUAAACGUUUGUUGAGUGAAUUCACACGUGAGCAAUUAAAAACGCACACCAAGUGUUUCGCGUGGGGCCUGGCAAGACGUCGCCCCAGGUGGCUAUGGCCUGGAUCAGCAGUGUCAUCCUCGGCACAGCCCCAGGCCUCCUGCUUCAUGGGUCGGCACGGGUGGCUCUCCCUCUGAGAGGUGGGGCAAGGGGGUGUUGUGUCCGGGAGGGACGUUGUGUGCCAUGGUGGCAGCUGGGAUCAUCCGCGGGGCUCGGUAUACCCCCCGGGGGACGUGUCUUCCACGGAGAGCACACGUCCUGGCGUCACAGGUCCUGAGGUUGGCACCGCGAGGACGCCCGGGGCCCAGGCCAGCAGGCGGGAGGGCCCUCGGGAGGUGAAGAGGGGCAGCACCAUGACCGCGGGGAUCAGAUGGUUCCCUGGAUCCGUGUUCCCUGCUUCGGGGGCGGUGACAAGCCUCUCCUACUGCCCGUGAGUGCGUUCCUGGGUGGAGGGACCUCCCAGGCUUCCCGCCCCCCACGCCCAUCAAGGUGACCCUGGAAAAAAACCAUCAGAGGCCCUUUAAGUGGUGCUUCCUGCAGGGUUUCCAUGGCAACGCUGUGUGAACUGGCUGGGGUUGGUGGGCUGGCCCCCUCCUCCCUGCCUGACUCCUCCCUGCCUGACUGCCAUCCAGCCAUCAUGGCCUGGGCUCCUCCGGGCCGCCGGAUCUUCAGCCUCCGCAGCCUCGGUUUAUCCACUCGUAACACGGGGACGGCGACUGUAUCCGUCUCAGAGGGCGGUUCCGACGAUGAAGCGCAUCGCCAAGGAAGCUGCCCCAGCCCCACAGCCACAAGGAAACGGAUUCUCCGAAGGGUCACGCGAGCCGCGGAGAGGGCCCUGAGCCUCAGGCAAGCCCCCGGCCCCGCGGCCGACAGCGGGCUACAGCCCUGUGGGACCCCGGGUGCGAGCCCUGCGGCGCCUGAAGCCCGACCGCGGAGACUGCGCCGUAGUAAAUGCACCUGACGUCGCUACGUCUGUGGCACUUUGUCACGCGGCCUGGACACGAGGCAGGUGUUGGAGGCCACGCCCCCCGGCGUCACUGCACCCCCCCCACCCCAGCAGGUGCGUGAGGCCAGGUGUGCGGCUUCCAGGGUGGCCCGGGCGCCUCCGACACGUAGAAGGACAUCUGCCAAGAGCGUCCUGUUGUCCUGGACGGAAAAGAUUGGCACCCGCUCGGAAGCCCACGGGGGUUCUGCUUGGCUUGCCGCGAGCCUGGUCGGAAAAUGCAGAAGGGCACGCGUGAGGCGACGGUGUGGCGCCGCCGGCUUCAUCGCCAACGUGAUGGGACGCAAAGGCCCGAAAGGCAGUGAAGGCGGGUGCCCACAGGGUCCUGGGCUGCAUGGGCCGCUCACGGGGCGCUCAGAGGUCCGUCUCCUUAACCCGAAUAUGAGCCUCGGCCCUACUUCCAUGUCACCAACCUGGUCCCCGGCCUUGGAUGUUUCCAGGUUUAAUACGGGACACCCCGGUCCUGGCUGAGCCUGCGGGCAGGUGGGGCGGCACUGUUGGUUACCUGCCCCUCCGCCCCGUGUGUCCCCGACUUUGGGGGCCUCGAGCUGCUCCUGACCUCCCCAGGCGGACGGCCACCCAUGCAGACGCCCUGCACGGCCCCCUGCGGGCACCUCCCCGUGCGCCUCGGCUGCCCAAGUCCAUGUGCCUCCACUGCCCGAGCCCGUGCGCCUCUCCCUGCCCCAGCCCCUGUACCUCCCCUGCUCCAGCCCCU